rnacentral:rRNA from 1 species
AAAAGCUCAUUACAACAGCUAUUGUUUAUUGGAUCUUUACAUUCUUACACGGAUAACUGCGGUAAUUCUGGAGCUACUACGUGCAUUAAACGACGACCUUACGGAAGUCGUGCAUUUGUUAGACCAAACCAAUCGGUCUUCGGACCGUCAUUUGGUGAACUCUGAAUAACUUUGCUGAUCGCACAGUCUCGUACUGGCGACAAAUCCUACAAGUAUCUGCCUUAUCAACUUUCGAUGGUAGUUUAUACGACUACCAUGGUUGUAACGGGUAACGGAGAAUAAGGGUUCGACUCCGGAGAGGGAGCCUGAGAAACGGCUACCACAUCCAAGGAAGGCAGCAGGCGCGCAAAUUACCCACUCGCAGCACGCGGAGGUAGUGACGAAAAAUAACGAGGUGGCUCUCUACGAGGUCCGCCAUCGGAAUGGGUACAAUUUAAAUCCUUUAACGAGGAUCUAUUGGAGGGCAAGUCUGGUGCCAGCAGCCGCGGUAAUUCCAGCUCCAAUAGCGUAUAUUAAAGUUGUUGCGGUUAAAAAGCUCGUAGUUGGAUCUGCGUUUGGUGAAAGCGGUCGCCCGACGGGUUGUUACUGCUUCUCCCGAACUAAUCAUUCGGUUUUCCCUUGAUGCUCUUCAUUGAGUGUCCUGGGUGACCGGAACUUUUACUUUGAAAAAAUUAGAGUGCUCAAAGCAGGCGAUUCGCCCGAAUAUUCGUGCAUGGAAUAAUGAAAAAGGUCCUUGUAGCCUUUUAUUGGUUAUUGUUAUGAGGAAAUGAUCGACGGGGACAGACGGGGGCAUUUGUAUUGCGACGUUAGAGGUGAAAUUCUUGGAUCG